AAUGUGACAUGAAGGGAGAAAAAACAGGGGACACUUACGAGAGGCUUGACUAAAAGAGAAGACAUGAGGGGUCAUAGAGACUUCAGGUGGAAGGAAGGUUUCAUUUUGUUUUUAGUACGGGAAAUACUUGAAUGAGUGUAUUGCUAAGGAGAGGUGGAGCUUAAAGAUUCAGAAAAAUCUCAGGACGAAAGAGAGGAUCUUAGAGCAAGGUCCUGGAGGACACAGGAAGAAAUGGGAUCCCGCUGACAUGCCCCUCUUCCUGAAACAUUCUUAGCUCACAUCAGCGGAAACAGACUCUGAGACUCUGAGGUUUUCAUGAAGGAGGAUUACUGGGGGGAGAUCUGAGGAACCAGCCCUGACAGGGAGCCCUCAUGGAAAACGAGGGUGGCUGAGGCAUGGAGGUUUGUACAGUGUCACAGGCAAUGGAGGAAAUUCUUUCCUGAUGGACUCCUUUUUCUUUUCAAAAUGAGAAAUUGUUGAAAAAAAGUGCUCGAGAUCUCCAGAAGAGUGGAAAAGACCUGGAAUGACCUUAGAUGACAGUAGGAAUCACAAGCUGGGAUUAGUUUGUACCCUGGAGGGUGCAACAAAGAUCAGAUGCCAUAAAUCUGUGGUGUUACCAUCUUUUAGGCUGAGUGAUUUUUCCCUAGUCGGGCUCUGCAUCCCAGAAAUACAAGCAGAAGAGGAGGCUGAGGGUGAGGUUAACCUAAGGCACAUUUCUGGGCUUCUGGCCUACUCUCUACUCCUGCUGGGCGCCUGUCUCCAGCUGGGACGAAGGGAAGAGCCUGCAGGUCAUGCCUCUACUUGAAGCUUCCUUCUCUCUCUCAGGGUUGCUAUUUAUUAUGUCUUGGCCAGUGCACCAAUCCAAAAGUUGAAAAAAAGCAGAGUACACAUCAAACCAUUCCCAGAAUCAAACUCUAGGAUGAUUUAAAGAUCAGUGAGUCAGAUACAUGUGGAUUAAAUUUUCCUCUAACUACAUACUUGGUUAGAAAAUCCUAGCCUGGGACUUGGAAGUGAUGGGUCCUGUUUGGGACACCCAAGUUGCUAUAAAGGGGUACAACGUGUGUUCAGUUCCAGUCCCUGGAUCAUCAGGCAAGGUCUGAAAACCUCUGUUUGAGACGGCAUAAAUUCCCAGGACUGCAGACCACUGGACCAAACUUCUAGGAGGCAAGACUUGUGGACCCUGGUGAGAACCCAAGCCAAACCUUUCAUGGGGCCAGCCUUGGGAGAAACUGGCCCUGCUUGGCUGGCUUCUGCUACCGUCACUCAUCCUUUCUAAGUGACAGCAGCCUUGAGGCCACAAAACAAAGGCCAAAAUGGCUUCAAGGACAGUAAGCUGAAGAUUUCAAAAGAUUGUGACUUCCGUUCUGCUGGCUGACCAUCUCUCCAGCCUUCUCAGCUUGCACAUCUCCAUGAAGCAAGCUGCCAUGUUGGCAAGACCUACGUGGCAAGGAUUUGAGAGCAUCCUCUGGCCAGCAGCAAGCUAGGAACCGAGGCCCUCAGUCCAACAACCCUCAAGGGACUGAAUUCUGCCAACAAACACGUGAACUUGGAUGUGGAUCCUUCCCCAGGUGAGCCUUCAGACGAAAUGCCAACCUUGGCCAAAAUUUUGGUUACAGCCUUGUGAGAGAUUCUAAAGAAAGGACCUGGCUAAGUUGUGCCCUGGCUCUUGGCCCACAGAAACUGUGAGAUAAUAAAAGUGUGUUGUUUUAAACCA